UGUUCUACUGUAGUUUGUGUGGCAGACAUUUUGUGAAGCGGCUCGAAAAUGUAACCUUUUCUUAAGUAACACUAUCUCUGUCUACCUCAUGAAAAUGUGUUAUGACUUUCACAAAAGUUUCGUAGUAAUAAUGACAAGUUGUAAAAAUGCAGUUUUUAACGCCUAUUUUUUACCUACGAAUAAAUCAACAGCCUAAUUGAUUUUGUGUUGCAUUACACUAUGAAACGAAUUUCACCGUUUGAAAAUUACCCACACGUAAUGAUAUAAUUCGAACACAUUAAUUGGUGUCGAGCAAGUCGGUCCUCAUCCUCAUAUAAUGACUAAAUGAGACAAGUGUUAUUAGCAUCGGUUCUGGCACUAAAGAAGCAAUUUUCUAGUAUUUUCACAGAUCAAACAUAUCAUUAAGUGAAUAGACAAUGUGAGAAUUCUCUUUUCGUUCUUAGGAGAGAACAUUUAAACCCCAUCUCUGCAAAAAGUUCGUUAGCUGUGGAUUACGCGGAAUAAAUAUCACGAAGAUUCUGCUGGUUAAUAUUGAAGGAGUAUUAACGUACAAACAUGGUAUGAGGGAAAACUCUGGCAACAUAGCUGAGGUGUUACCAGUUGGCGGGGGAGAGGCUGUGCUUCUGCUCAGCGAACUUGAAAGCAUGGCAUCUAGACAGCAGCGAGAAAUUGUGCAGCAAAGGCGAAUAUUGGAACAGAGAGAGGCUCGACUAGCUGUACUUCGAGGAGCACAGGAGCCAUCUCAACAAGACAGACUUGCAAGACUUCGACAUCGCUUAGAUCAACAGCAAACGAAAUUGAAUCGUUUACGUUUAAUAAGAUCACAAACAGAUCAGUCUCGAGUUAACAAUGCCACCUUAACCUCUGAUUUGGACUGCAUAAGAGCUCUUUUCAAUGAAAAGGAAAAGGAAUUAUCACUAGCUGUAGCUAAGGUCGAAGAACUAACUCGUCAACUGGAAGAACUUCGUGGACGCCACAGUCUCAAUGGAAAUAGUAUCGGUAUUCAUUUACCAACAUCUGCCAGUACCGAACUGGAGAAGUUGCGGAGGGAGUUACUGUAUCGUAACAAGAUGAAUGAGCAACAGAAUCAAGUAGUGUCUCAACAGAGAUUGGCUUUAGCUCAGAAACAAGCAGAAAUGGCCUCAAUUGACGCGCGAAUUGCUCAGCUCCAAGGUCGACUUCAGCGUAAGAGAGCUUUAAAUCAGCGAUUGAGUCAACAACUAGGAUCUAUUAAUCUGUCCACUUCGAACCAAACCUAUCUCGACUCUAAAGUUGAUUUCUCGAAUGGCGGAAAGUCUCGCCCAAUUGGCAAUAUUGCUGCGAUUGAGCCUUACUCUCAUAUUCCGAACGACGAUUUCGCCUUGAAUAAGAACGAUCCAAAGUACCAAACACUACCAUACAACACCAAAUUCACUGUUAAUUUUAAAAAUUCAGAGGAUGAUUGUAAUAUUAAUAAAAUUCAACACAGUGCAAGCGCUUUGCAAAUUGGACAAAGGUCGACAUACUAUCAGUUGGGUCAUCAGAUUGUUCACAGUCAAUCUCAAUCUCACAUUAAAGACAAAUUGCAACCUCUAGGCACAAAUCAACAACAUUUCUCCUACAAUACGAAUAAUAAGAACAACAAUAACAUUUCUAACAAUAAUAAUGAGAAUUUCAUUAUUGAAAAUCAAGCUUCCCAAGGUCUUCGAAUACAUAACAUUCAACAAGCUCAGCAGCAUGCAAACUUGCAGCAAAAAUAUCACAAUUGUAUGAAUUUGUCAAACUCCAGUGCAGGCUUAAAUACUCAAAUAAUUUGCACCAAACAAAAUCUUCGAAACAUCCAGUUGCACCAAAAGCCAAUAUCCAGUGUUGCACCGAGUUUCCCUGUAAAGUCGCCCAUAUACAAGACGUCGUCGACUAAAAUCCAUCCCGUCAUGCCACAAACUUUGAAUCUACUAAGCAGAGGCCACACUGGAUACAACACUUUAAAGAAUCAAAAUCAAUCAAACGAAAAUGUUCAGAAUGUAACGCAGGAACUGAAUUGUGUAAUAAAGUCUAAUCCACCCAGUGUUUCAGCAGCGACAAUAUCGGUUUCCGAACAGUCAAAUGAAAAGCCACUGUCGAAACUCGAAGUUCAAGUACGCAUCGAACAAAACGGAGUCAAGUAUGAAAAUAGUGCAGCGCAAAACAAGUACGAAAUGCAACAAACAAAGGUGUUCGACAGCAGUGGAAAGCACGAAUUGAGUGGCAAGGAAGACGGUAAACGCGAACCGCCUGCCAAGUGUGAAACAGUAAAGGGAGACUCAAAUGCCAAGUUUGAUUUGAAAUCGGACCAAGUUCUCCUAAAGAACGACUCAGUAGGAAGGCACGAUUCCUCAGUGGAGCUACAAGGAAAAUUGGAUGCAAUAAAGUACGAUAAAAGUCAAAACGCAUUCGACAAUUCUGCCUUGUACGAUCACAAUGUCGAGCUUAUACAUGCAGACGCUAACGCUAAAUUCGAAUUAUCAAGUAAAUUGUCAGAAAUGGUUGCGGAUCAAGAAAAAUUCAAACCUGACGUUGAACGAAAGAUAUUUCUUUAUAAUGAGAUGAAAAACGAGGACAAACCUAAGCCGACACUGCCGCCGAAGCCAACUAAAUCUAAUGCUCCUCCCAGACUAAUUACUCACGAGAAGCUUGACUUCGCCACUGAUGUUGACGAGUAUGCAGCAAACAUUGACAGAGAGGAAAAGAAAGAAGAAAUUCCACCUAUGCCAACAUCAGAACCUCCGGAAUCCCCAACUGACGGUCAAUGUCUAAAUAAGCAAGCUAUCACAUCUCGCCCUUUAACACUGAAAAAAGUACCAUUCUUAGAAACUCCAAAACUUAGAUAUUCUAAAUCCAAUAUUCACGUGUCAAUAAAUCGGCGAAUCGAAAUGCCACCUGCUUUCCUGUUUCCUGAAACAGAGAUUCCAGCAGAUCUUAUGCAAACCGAUGUGAAUCAGUAUCAACACGCUCAACAGCAAUCUCAACAAGCUAUUGAAGCACUAGAUUCUAAUAUGAAGAAAAUAUUGCCAAAUGUUCUAACAAAUAAGGAAUUAAAUCAAAAAGAGAAAGUAGAGCAAGUUGAUAUUGUAGAUGCUAUAAGCGUUAUUAAUAUUGAAGAAAAAUCAAAGUUGAAAAGUGACAAGGACAGAAAGUGUGAAGCGGAGUUGGAGUGCAAAUCCAUAGAGGUUACUAAAAGGAAAAAAGGCAAUUUGAAAAUUUCUACGGGAAAAGCAAAUCUUUCGAGGCGUGUUUCAUUUGAUCCUUUGGCUCUUCUAUUGGAUGCCAGUCUCGAAGGUGAAUUAGAAUUAGUAAAAAAGACUGCAAAGGAAGUGUCCAAUCCUAGUUCCGCUAAUGACGAGGGCAUAACAGCUCUUCACAACGCCAUUUGUGCGGGACAUCUUGAAAUCGUCAAGUUUCUUGUGGAAUUCGGUUGUGACGUCAAUGCACAAGACAGUGAUGGAUGGACACCACUACACUGUGCUGCCAGUUGCAAUAAUUUAGCGAUGGUUAAAUUUUUGGUCGAACAUGGAGCGUGCAUAUUCGCUACUACCUUAUCGGAUCACGAAACAGCUGCAGAAAAAUGCGAAGAAGAUGAAGAAGGUUUCGAUGGCUGCUCUGAAUAUCUAUACAGUGUCCAAGAAAAGUUAGGCAUCAUUAACAAUGGACAAGUGUUUGCAGUAUUUGAUUAUGUGGCACAACAUAAUGAUGAACUUUCCUUAAAGAAUAGCGAUUCUCUGGUUAUAAUCAGGAAAGGCGACGAUGAUGAAAGGGAAUGGUGGUGGAGUAAACUGGGACAUAAAGAGGGAUAUGUACCACGAAAUUUACUUGGCCUCUACCCCAGAGUUAAAUUACCUAAAACGGACUGAAGUCUUUGCAGAUCUACAAAACAUAAUUUUCAUUCAACACGUACUAGAAGCAGUAUUGAGUUUGCAAUUUAAUUUUAUUGUAUAGUGUGUGAAUGACAGUUAAACUUUCUGCAGUUUUUCUAUAAAAUUUAGAUGAUAUUAAUUUAUUUAACAUCCUUAACUUACUACAUACUUGACGGCUGUCACACAAAUUUUUACAAAGAUGUAAGAGUUGCACGUAAUCAAAUGGAAUAACUUAAAUGGAAUAUUAAAUUAUCAAUAAAUAUGAGAAGUAUUGUACAAUACAAAUACAAAUAUUUUUGUAUUGAAAGU